UACGGAGGGUGCAAGCGUUAAUCGGAAUUACUGGGCGUAAAGCGUGCGCAGGCGGUUUGUUAAGUCCGUUGUGAAAGCCCCGGGCUUAACCUGGGAAUGGCCGUUGAAACUGGCGAACUGGAGUGUGGCAGAGGGGGGUGGAAUUCCGCGUGUAGCAGUGAAAUGCGUAGAGAUGCGGAGGAACACCGAUGGCGAAGGCAGCCCCCUGGGCUAACACUGACGCUCAGGCACGAAAGCGUGGGGAGCAAACAGG
rnacentral:rRNA from 1 species